UCUUACGAGUAUUGAUCAGCUUCUCAAAACAUUAAUGAGCCAGGAUGAAGUUCGAGAAGUUGCAUUACACCAUGUAAAUAUUAAGGUUCCACUUUAAUGAGCUGUGGAAGACAAGUGCACCGACAUAGCUCAUGGAGAAAUAAGAAGAUGAUGAAGAGCGAUUUAUGGGUAAAAAAAUAUAGUGAAUAGAUUUGCAUGUGAAGUCAAGUGUAUAUGCCCAGACUCGAGCAGGUUCGCUAUUAUUGUUGUUCUUGUGUGUCAAGGCUUUUGGCUGCAGACUU